rnacentral:rRNA from 1 species
GAGGCAGCAGUGGGGAAUAUUGGACAAUGGGCGAAAGCCUGAUCCAGCCAUGCCGCGUGUGUGAAGAAGGCCUUUUGGUUGUAAAGCACUUUAAGCGAGGAGGAGGCUACUUGGAUUAAUACUCUAGGAUAGUGGACGUUACUCGCAGAAUAAGCACCGGCUAACUCUGUGCCAGCAGCCGCGGUAAUACAGAGGGUGCUAGCGUUAAUCGGAUUUACUGGGCGUAAAGCGUGCGUAGGCGGCUUUUUAAGUCGGUGUGAAAUCCCUGAGCUUAACUUAGGAAUUGCAUUCGAUACUGGGAAGCUAGAGUAUGGGAGAGGAUGGUAGAAUUCCAGGUGUAGCGGUGAAAUGCGUAGAGAUCUGGAGGAAUACCGAUGGCGAAGGCAGCCAUCUGGCCUAAUACUGACGCUGAGGUACGAAAGCGUGGGGAGCAAACAGGAUUAGAUACCCUGGUAGUCCAUGCCGUAAACGAUGUCUACUAGCCGUUGGGGCCUUUGAGGCUUUAGUGGCGCAGCUAACGCGAUAAGUAGACCGCCUGGGGAGUACGGCCGCAAGGUUAAAACUCAAAUGAAUUGACGGGGGCCCGCACAAGCGGUGG